GGACUACCCGGGUAUCUAAUCCUGUUUGCUCCCCACGCUUUCGCGUCUCAGCGUCAGUAUCGGUCCAGGUAGCCGCCUUCGCCACCGGUGUUCCUCCCAAUAUCUACGGAUUUCACUCCUACACUGGGAAUUCCACUACCCUCUCCCGUACUCAAGUCUCCCAGUAUCCAAUGCACUUCCCAGGUUGAGCCCGGGGCUUUCACAUCAGACUUAAAAGACCGCCUACACGCGCUUUACGCCCAAUAAAUCCGAACAACGCUCGCACCCUCCGUAUUACCGCGGCGGCUGACAC
rnacentral:misc_RNA from 1 species